rnacentral:rRNA from 1 species
UACGUAGGGGCCUAGCGUUGUCCGGAAUUAUUGGGCGUAAAGCGCGCGCAGGCGGUCCUUUAAGUCUGAUGUGAAAGCCCACGGCUCAACCGUGGAGGGUCAUUGGAAACUGGGGGACUUGAGUACAGAAGAGGAAAGCGGAAUUCCACGUGUAGCGGUGAAAUGCGUAGAGAUGUGGAGGAACACCAGUGGCGAAGGCGGCUUUCUGGUCUGUAACUGACGCUGAGGCGCGAAAGCGUGGGGAGCAAACAGG